UAAGAUGUGACAGAAUUGUCGCUUUUGCUUGUUACUUUUAACAAAAAUGAACAAUUGCUUUAAAAACAUUAGAAUUAUAAAUUGGGAUUUUUAGCCCAUGUCAGUUGCUUGUUACCCAUUAAAAGUUAUGUUGAUGGGAUGCAUAGUGGUGAUGGCGCACUAAGUACCGGUCUACUUUCAAAGUGCAAAAUGAAUUAAAAAAUAUCGGCUUAAAAAUCAUAUUUUAUCAGGUCCCAGAAAAAUCAUAAAUUAGCUAUACAUGUAUUUUAUAGAAAUUUCGCGUCCCCAACCUUGACAGCUUUUACAAAAUGUGAGGCAUUAAUGUCUUUUAAUUUUUCUUGCUUUUUAGGUUGUGUCGUAGUGGCAGACAUACAGUAGACCAUACAUACAGAUAUUGGACGUGUUUUCAGAUUUGGGCAUAAAGGGUUGUCUUAGCGGCGAAGAUGAAGACUAUACAAGGAUAAUACGAACGUAAAUUGACGUGUUUUCAUAUCUGGAGCAUUCAGGAUAUUGGGGCACUUGAUCGAAGAAUAAAGACUGAAGCGACUUUGAAGAAACUGACUUAAGAAAAAAUGGAGUUUUGCUUUAUCAUGAACAGUAUGGUGGAAGAGGUUGACUACAAGCAUGUAUGAAGAUGUGCUGUAAAUGUCGCAAUGAUUGCGGAUGUUGCAGCUAUGUUUGCCGAUGUUCACAGUACAAGCGCGUGUGGAGAUGUCAUGUUGUAGAUGUCACAAUGAUCUAGUGCAGCGUUAUCCUUUUUCUUUGGCACAGGGUGAGCAUUUGAAUGUGCACACAGACCUUGACUUUGAAGAAAGAAAUACUCGAACUAUCCGACGAGAAACCCGAACUAUCCGACGAGAAAUUCGAACUAUCCGACAAGGAGCCGGAACUGUCCGUCGAGUGAGGAACACGAAGCGGUUUCCUGGAUAACACACGAAGAAAACGUUAGUUGAUGGAACUCGAGAGAAUGUAGAACUGCUUUGUUAGUACCCUAACGAUGCCGGUCACCAGAGAUGUGGUGUUACCCUAACGGUAACCGUCGCCAGAGGGAUUGUUGUACACAACUGAUGCCUGUCGCCAGAGAUGCACUGGUUCCCGGUCGAUACCGGCCAUCUGAGGUGUGCUGGGACUGUCAUGUUAACAUGGCGGUAGAAGACGAUACCAGCUGUUUCUAGCAAACGACACCAGUUGCUUCUAGCAGGCGACAUCGGUUGCCUCUGGCAGACGACGCAAAAUUGCUUAUAGCACUCGACACCAGUUGAUUCUACCAGAAGACACAAGUGGAGAAGGUAAUACCUGGAUUUUAGAAUAAUAUGCAUGUUCUUUAAGAAGAUUCAUAGCAUGGCAAUUGGCUUUCAGUUAUAUAAAUAGCCAUUCAACUUGCUUGCGGAAACUCGUUUGCUUAUAGCAGACGACAUCGUUGGCGGAAGUAAUGCUUAGAGUUAUCUUGCGAUACAUAACUUUACGUAAAGCCUAAAAAUAUUUUUUGUUUAGGGUAACGCCCCGGAAAUCUAGUAGAUAAGGUAGGGAAGUUUUUUGUUUUCAUUUUUUUUAGCUUGACUUUUCGAAAAAUAGGUAGAGAUAUUGAAUUCAUCCGUGCGUCGGCCUCCGCGUCAUUGUCGGCGUCGAAAUUUGAUUUAGCUUUUGUAUGUUAGCUGGUAUCUCAGUAACCACUUGCGGGAAUGGAUUGAAACUUUACACGUAUACAUGGUUAUAAAGUGACUUACACUGAUCAGGUCCAAUAACUCUGUUUUGCUUUU